GACGAACGCUGGCGGCGUGCUUAACACAUGCAAGUCGAACGGCAAGGCCCUGCUUUUGUGGGGUUCUCGAGUGGCGAACGCGUGAGUAACACGUGAGUAACCUGCCCUUCACUUUGGGAUAACUUCAGGAAACUGGGGCUAAUACCGGAUCGGAGCUCCUGCUGCAUGGUGGGGGUUGGAAAGUUUAGGCGGGUGGGGAUGGACGCGCGGCUUAUCAGCUUGCUGGUGGGGUAGUUGCUUACCCAGGCUGUGACGGGUAGCCGGCCUGAGAGGGGGACCGGCGACAAGGGGCCUGAGAGACGGACCAGAGUCGUACGGGAGGCAGUAGGGGGGAAUAUGGCACAAUGGGAGGAAGUCGGAUGAGGCAACGCCGGGUGCGGGAUGACGGCCUGCGGGGUGUAAACAGCUGUCGCCUGUGACGAAGCGUGAGUGACGGUAAUGGGUAAAGAAGCACCGGCUAACUACGUG
rnacentral:rRNA from 1 species